GGGUGAGGAACCCGUGAAGAAUCUGCCUUCCACUCUGGGAUAACACCGGGAAACCGGUGCUAAUACCGGAUAUGAGCCUUGAUCGCAUGAUCGGGGCUGGAAAGUUUUUCGGUUGAAGAUGACUUCGCGGCCUAUCAGCUAGUUGGUGAGGUAAUAGCUCACCAAGGCGACGACGGGUAGCCGGCCUGAGAGGGCGACCGGCCACACUGGGACUGAGACACGGCCCAGACUCCUACGGGAGGCAGCAGUGGGGAAUAUUGGGCAAUGGACGAAAGUCUGACCCAGCGACGCCGCGUGAGGGAUGAAGGCCUUCGGGUUGUAAACCUCUUUCAGCAGGGAAGAAGCGAAAGUGACGGUACCUGCAGAAGAAGCACCGGCUAACUAUGUGCCCAGCAGCCCGCGGUAAUACAUAGGGUGCAAGCGUUGUCCGGAAUUAUUGGGCGUAAAGAGCUCGUAGGUGGUUAGUUACGUCGGAUGUGAAAAUCUAGGGCUCAACCCUAGACCUGCAUCCGAUACGGGCUAGCUUGAGUUUGGUAGGGGAGACUGGAAUUCCCUGGUGUAGCGGUGGAAUGCGCAGAUAUCAGGAGGAACACCAAUGGCGAAGGCAGGUCUCUGGGCCAAUACUGACACUGAGGAGCGAAAGUGUGGGGAGCGAACAGGAUUAGAUACCCUGGUAGUCCACACAGUAAACGAUGGGGCACUAGUUGUGGGAACCUUUCCACGGUUUCUGCGAC
rnacentral:rRNA from 1 species